rnacentral:lncRNA from 1 species
AGAUAUAUUUUGCUCCCAAACGCCGCCCUAGAAGAAGGACUACACUGAAAUGAAACGGAGAUGAUUAAAGUCUGAUUUAUAGGCUGUACAAGCCCUGAAAGCAAGAACGGGGUUCACGGCAUCUUGAUACCCCCAUGUGGGGACGUUUUGGCGAUUUUAUUUACAAGAAAGGGAUUUUACACCGGAGAGGCUUUUAAAUAUGCUAACAGACUGGACCAGCUUUCUCAUCCCCACUGGCUGAUUAAUGAUUCCUCCAUGCCAACCCGGUUCUCAGAGACACCAAGGCCAGCUCUCCAAAGACCUGGGAAAAAAUUACUUCAUGUCCUUGUAAAAACGUUUUCACAAAUUUAAGUGCACCAGCUUUGAAGCAAGACAGAAUUGGGAUCAAGUCCCUGUUCCACCCUUACCAGAAAGUCUUUUCGUAGCUCACAAGGGGACAUCAAAGAUGACAAAGAGGAGUGGAAGAAGACAGAGAGAAUCAAUGUGAGGAGCCUGGAACAGGGCUCUGAAUUGUCUUCCCACAGUGAAAUCACUUGUCUAUUGCUGAGCCAAGAAUUUGACUCUGAGCAUCUAGGAUGAGAAAGAAGAACUGGCACCUACGCCAUCUCUGCCCCUCGGGACUGACUAUUUUG